rnacentral:lncRNA from 1 species
GUCUCUCUUUCUAAACUUUCUCCUUCAAAUUCUCUCUCGCUUCUCUCCUCUUUUUACAGUUUUCCAUAAGCAAAGCUUCAAACUCUUCCUUUUACCCUCUUUUUCUUCUUCUUCUUCUUCAAAUUUUCAAAAUCAAAACAAGAAUGCUAAAAAGAAUAACCACCUCAUGAGCCCACUUCUUAUUGCCGGUCUCUAGGAUCCAUCCGCCUUUAUCGUAUUUCGGCCAGUAGCCUCUGUUGCCGUCGCCGUCAAAUCACCGCGGGUGGACUUCUUGUCGUCGUUACUGCAAGGGAGACAGGUGAACAAAAAAUGAACUGCCUUCUUCACUUUUUCUCUAGGCUCGACCUCUCUUGACUGAUUUAAAAUCCGAUUCACUUUUUAUUGGCUUUAAUUUCUGAUAAAUUGGUUUUUAAUCGAUUUAACUCUGGUCUUUCUUUGAUUUGUUGACAGAUUUUGGGCAUAUGUAUGUUUUCUGGCGAUAGCCCCUCUGUGAUCAACGAUGGGUCGAAUGUAUUCUCCUUUAAUCAAAGUAUGCGAGCUCAAAGGAAAAUAAUGGCCCUCAUUUUGACGCAUCGAGCUUUGUUAUGUGGCUUGGGAAUAAUGUUGUAUUGUAGAUUGUUGUGAAACAAACAAAAUCUGAUUUGUGAUUCAUAAUAUAGACGAUUUUAAAAAACGUUGGUCGUACUUCAAAUGAGAUGUUGAGAAUUAGUACAAAUUAAAAUUGUAUAUAAAUGGAUACUUGUCCUAAGGAACAAAGUGAGUAUCAUUUAAACGAGUAUGAUAUGAACAUGGUUUCAAAUCUUGAAAUGAGAUACUAGGUAGGUAGAAACACAAAGUGUACAAUGAUGGGUUAAUUACUAUGAAUAAUGGUAGAUUGGAACAUCUGAUCAAUUACAUACGGAGGCAAAACAAUAAACAAAAGUAUAUGAUUGUUGCAUUACAUAAUAUUGAAAGCAUAUAUAUGGAUUAGUCGUG